AAAUGUACACAUUAAGCACACUUACCUUCUCCAUAAUCCCGUUGGAUGAUUCCAUGCCACACUUUGUCACAGCCAGGCAGGUCGCGACGUCAUCUACUCACGGGCCAUGCAUGUGCAGAAGCCGCAGAAGUCACAGCCACACUAUAUCACGGGACACCGGGGCCGCGUUCCGUUGGGGACCAUAAGGCUUACAGUAUGGCAUACUUCCCCCGAAUCGGGGGGGACCAGGGGCCGUACUUAUAAACACUAAGAUGAUGUCCUAACGGUAAGAAGUCGUCCUAAAUCACAAAAAUGGCGGAAUUCGAGUCUUAAAUCCUUAAGACGGCAUCCUAAGCCCUAAAGAUGCGUCUUACCGCUAAAACACCUCCCGAGGUGUUUUUGCAGUAAGACGCGCUCCUAAGAUUUCAUCCUAAAAGUAAACAUGGCCGCUCGAGGGGGACCGCACCGUCACCACCUGCGACAGAGACGGUCAUUUCGUAAGAGGAAGGACGUCCUGAAUGAGCUAGAUGACCGUGAGCUGGUGAAGAGGUAUUGGCAGGAUCCUGCUGGUAUCAUUUUCGUGACAAAUUUGAUGCGGGAAAGGCUGAAGAGACCAACUGCAAGGAACAAGGCCUCUCUCCCCGAGAUGCAAGUUAUCUUCACUGCGGUACCUCGCUAUAGGAAAGAUUGGUGCCAUUGAUGGGACGCACGUGAUGAUUGUGGCUCCUAGAGAGUAUAAGGUAGAGUUUGUCAACAGGAAGAGAUACCACAGCAUCAACGUGCAGUUUGUGUUUGAUGCUUGAUACCACAUUAUUGAUGUGGUUGCAAAGUGGCCGGGAUUGGUUCACGAUGCAAGAAUACUUGCUCAAAGUGGAUUCUGCACAAUAUUUGACAGCGGCAUCGUCCCAGCUGGGUGUCACUUACUGGGAGAUAGUGGCUAUCCCAGCAAGAAGUGGCUACUGACUCCAUACCUCAGACCACAGCCUGGAGCACAGUCUUCUUAUAACAGGGCCCACAAGAAAACCUGCAGCAUUGUUGAGAGAGGCAUCGGGCAGCUGAAGCCACAUUUUCACAUGCUACACAGUGAAAUCCAAGUUGGUCCUCCACCCAAGGUCUGCCAAAUUGUAGAGGUUUGUACAUUGCUGCACAACAUCUACAAAGCAAGAAACAUCAUUCUUCCUGAGGAAGAAGAACAUAUUGCUGCAGCCGAGGAUGGAGGCAACGAGGAGCGACCCCCAGCACAGAAAGUUCAGUCGCCAUGAAAGAAUCCUUUACAGGGAUGAAUUUGUUGUGCUUCACUUAAAUAUUGCUGAGUGAUGAGACACCAGUGUCAUGACUGCUGAGAUUGGUGUUAAUCUCAUGUGGAUGAUCUCCUCAUCCACAUAGACCAGUGAUGUGCCAGGCAAGUCUGGCCCCUGUUGGUGCCACAUCACUGGUGCUGGAAGUGGUGUGGCAGGUGCCUCCUCCUCCACACCCACUGCCUUGGUCACCACUUCUCUCUGUUGGGCUGCCUCUGCCACUUCCCCAGCAUCAUCUGCUGCCUGAACACUGCUGGCAUCAUUAGUUCUAACUUCAGAAACUAAGCUGAUAAUGUUUUUGGUUUUAUUGCUAAGGACAAAAGUAACAGAAACCAGUAAAUCUAGCUAAGGGUA